rnacentral:rRNA from 1 species
GACGAACGCUGGCGGCGUGCCUAACACAUGCAAGUCGAACGGACGAGAUUUCUUCGGAGAUCGAGUUAGUGGCGAACGGGUGAGUAACGCGCGGGUAACCUGCCGUAUACAGGGGGACAACAGUUGGAAACGACUGCUAAUACCGCAUAAGCGCACAGGACCGCAUGGUCUGGUGUGAAAAACUCCGGUGGUAUACGAUGGACCCGCGUCUGAUUAGCUAGUUGGCGGGGUAACGGCCCACCAAGGCGACGAUGCGUAGGGGUUCUGAGAGGAAGGUCCCCCACAUUGGUACUGAGACACGGACCAA